AUGGAUAAGGUUCUGUUGGUGAUGUGGUUAGCAGAAAAAAUCUCAUUCCUCAUCACCGAUAACAUCCGCCUAACACAAACCCACUCUUCCUCCUCACCUGUAACCCCACCCUUCCGCAUCUCCCCACGAAUCAACAUCGGAACCAACACUCUCUUUGUACCACUGCGACACAGUCCGCUCCUUCCAGCUUCUCUCACCGUCUCAGCUUCUCUCCGCCAUUGUCGCUUUCAAGUAGCUCAUGUGUUCACUUUCAUCUUAGCACUACUUUGUUGCUUUUAG